CUGACCUUGGCUCCGUGCCACGUGCCCCUCGCCCUCCCGAGGACCCCGGGGUCGCCGAGGGACCGGGAGGGGACGCGGGCGGCGGGGGGAUGACGCUGAGGUCUCCACCGGCCCUUGACCUGGGAGGCCGCAGUCAGGGGUUGGGACUGUCUCGAAUGAUCCCGGUGAGUGAGCCGGGGUCACGGUGUUCACCCUCGGUGGCCAGCAAUCAUGGGAACAGCCACCCCUGCGCCUAACUCCGUUUCCUGUUUUAUCGGCUUGAACUUCAGAUUCUCGCCCUCGGCGCAGUGGAAAGCUUUGCAGAGCGAGGACCCUACUGCCUGGCUGAGCUGGUGGGGCGUAUAGUAAAAAUCAGUACUGACUUCAGGGCUCCUUUAGGCACCUUUGCUGCCCUACACAGCCCACAGCAUAACACCAGGACGUGGGGCGAUGGCCAGGAGGUGUAUACCCCCAAAGCUGCAAGCAUUCCUCCUUACAAUGGCUGGAAUGGCCACCUUUAUCCAGAGACUCAGCUGUCCUGACAUCAGUCUUCGCAGCAGCUGGUCGUUUUUCACAGUUACCCAAGUCUUGCACUAAGCUUUCCUCAGCCAAGACAGCAGCAGACGGCACGCGUCGUCCGAACCCAUGGAAAUCCCUUUUCUCAUCUUUGGAAGGCUGAAUAUGAAGACACCUCAGACUUAGAGGACUGUCUGCUGCUGCCUCGGGCCAUCCCAACUGGCUGAUUUGACAUGGUGUCUGGGAUCCGCCACCUUCCUCUCUGAUUCCAACUUAGAGCUAAAACAGCAGAAGCAGCAGCUCUGCCCCCUGGUGGACAUGUGAGGCAGAGCGCCUCGAAUUUCAGAAGCCGCAUCUUGGCGGCGCAGGUUGGGGGAAAAGAUUUUCUGUUUACUCUGUUGGAAACAGCAAAACUUGGCAGAAGAUAAUUUCUCUCUCUCUCUCUCUCAUUUCUUAUGAUCUGGCCGAUUUGGAUGCAGAAAACACUUCUGUUUUUCCCCCUCCUUGUCUGGACUGCUUUUUUCCUGCCUGCUAGCCAAACCCUGCCUCCCCACACUCUCUUCAAAUUCUAUUUCAGAUUCCACCUCCUUCAUAACUUUCCUGACUCUCCUCUCCUAUGUGUCUUUUGAAAUACAGUUGUACACAGACCCAG